GUCCUGUUUCUAUUUUCUAUUGUGGUUGAAUAGACCAAUAAUAAAUGUGUAUGGCUUGAGUACGUAAGGAAAAGGAAAGGUUAACCGCUAU
rnacentral:rRNA from 1 species